rnacentral:lncRNA from 1 species
GUGACAACUAUAUCCAAAAAACUUCUGAAUGAAUUCAAAAAACUGAUUUACAACUUCAUUUGGGGCAAUAAAAAAGAAAAAGUUAAACGGAUAACUUUAUGUAAAGAUUAUUUGGAAGGAGGCCUAAAAAUGAUUAAUAUUGACAAUUUCCUAUCAGCUAUACAAUUAUCCUGGGUCAAACGAUUAACAUCAACACACUUUGCAAACUGGAAAGUUAUUCCCCUUUUCUUUUUUAAUAUAUUUGGAGAAAACUUUUCUUUAUUCAACAUGAAUCCAGGUAGCAUAAAAGCAAUCCCAAACCUUAGUAAAACACUCCCUCUUUUUUAUUUAGAAAUAAUUAAAAGUUGGUUUAAAAUAAAAAAUAUCUCAAACAAAAACAACAAUACAACUUUUAUUAAUAUAAGACAACAAUAUAUUUGGGGCAAUAAGCAUAUAAAAUUUCAAAACAAAUGCUUAAUAUUUUCAAAUUGGAUAACAAAUGGAAUACUAUU